rnacentral:rRNA from 1 species
GGGUUGUGAGGUUAAGCGACUAAGCGUACACGGUGGAUGCCCUGGCAGUCAGAGGCGAUGAAGGACGUGCUAAUCUGCGAUAAGCGUCGGUAAGGUGAUAUGAACCGUUAUAACCGGCGAUUUCCGAAUGGGGAAACCCAGUGUGAUUCGUCACACUAUCAUUAACUGAAUCCAUAGGUUAAUGAGGCGAACCGGGGGAACUGAAACAUCUAAGUACCCCGAGGAAAAGAAAUCAACCGAGAUUCCCCCAGUAGCGGCGAGCGAACGGGGAGCAGCCCAGAGCCUGAAUCAGUGUGUGUGUUAGUGGAAGCGUCUGGAAAGGCGUGCGAUACAGGGUGACAGCCCCGUACACAAAAAUGCACAUACUGUGAGCUCGAUGAGU